GCCAGGCGCACGGCACGCGCCUGCAGUCCCAGCGACUCGCUUGCAGUCCCAGCGACUCAGGAGGCUGAGGCAGGAGGAUCGCUGGAGCCCGAGCCCAGGAGUUCUGCCAAUCGGGUGUCCGCGCUAAGUUCGGCGUCAAUAUGGUGACCUCCCGGGAGUGGGGGACCACCAGGUUGCCUAAGGAGGGGUGAACCAGCCCAGGUCGGAAACGGAGCAGGUCAAAACUCCCAUGCUGAUCAGAAUGGAUGAUGAAUACUGAAGUGUUCCUUAUAUUCUUAUAGAAACACAGUGAGGAUUU
rnacentral:SRP_RNA from 1 species